UACGUAGGGGGCUAGCGUUGUCCGGAAUCAUUGGGCGUAAAGAGCGUGUAGGCGGUCCGGUAAGUCCGCUGUGAAAGUCGGGGGCUCAACCCUCGAAUGCCGGUGGAUACUGUCGGGCUAGAGUACGGAAGAGGCGAGUGGAAUUCCUGGUGUAGCGGUGAAAUGCGCAGAUAUCAGGAGGAACACCUAUUGCGAAGGCAGCUCGCUGGGACGUUACUGACGCUGAGACGCGAAAACGUGGGGAGCAAACAGG
rnacentral:rRNA from 1 species